rnacentral:lncRNA from 1 species
UUUUUUUUUUUUUUUUUUCUUUUUAAGGGCUGUGGCAUAUGUUAGUUCCCAGGCUAGGGGUCGAAUUCAAGCUGCAGGAUCCGAGCCACGUCUUCAACCUACACCACAACUCACAGCGAGGCUGGAUCCUUAACCCAUUCUGUGAGGCCAGGGAUCAAACCCUCAGCCUCAUGGAUACUGGUUGGAUUGGUUACUGCUGAGCCACGACAGGAACUCCUACAGUCAGAUUCUUAACCUACUGUGCCACAGCACAAAUUCCCCAUAUAUUACUUUCUAAAUAUCAUUACUCACUAAUAGAAAUCAGGAUUUCUUAGAGAAAUGGUUGAUUCCAGGGCUAUCACAGGAAAGUACAAGAUAAGCCUGUGAAUAAGGACAUACUCAAAGAAUGACAGGAACAUGUUGUUCUAGUUAUCUACUGUUGCAUGACACAUCACGUCUACACUUAAUAGUUUGAAUUAAUUUAUUAUAACCCCUUCUGGUGAUAGAUACUCAGCUGGGUGGUUGUUGCUUGGGAUCUCUCAAAUGACUGUAAACGAAUGGCAGCUGGAAUCAUCUGAUGAUCUGAGACCAGGUAUUCAGUAUAGCUCACUCAAAUGACUGGUAACUGAUGCUGGCUAUUGUGUAGGAGCUUUGCUGGGGCUGAAUGUCUACAUGUGUCUUUUCCAUGCAGUUUGAGAUUCUUACCUAAUUUUUUAGAUUUUUGAGAGGCAGCUUUCAGAGAGCACGUAUUCUAGGAGAAUAAGCCAGAAUCUACAAGAAUUCUUUUGACUCGGCCAGGAAAUAAUAUGGUGUCACUUGUGCUGUGUCCUGUUAAUUACCAAGGCAAACUCAAGUUCAAUGUGGAAAGGGACUAUACAGGUGUGUAAAUACCAGGAGGCAUGGUUUACAGGCAUGAAUCCAAGGGGAUUCUAGACCAUACAGUCUGCUCUCUGUCUUCAGUGACUUACAUCCCUCCCACAGUCAAAUUAUACUAUAUUCCAAUGACAUCCCCUGCCCCAAUCUCAUUUGAGACUCAUCAGGGUCAGUUUUGAUAUCUUGGCUUAGAAAGACAUCCUUUGAGAAGGUUACUCAAAUGCAUUUCCUAAACUACUGUUUUCUGAAUAACAAAUACUAGGCUAGGUAAAAUAUGAAAUGAAUUUAACUCGUUGACUUUCUAUUACAAUAUCAGAAUUAUAUACCGUAAACUGAAAGAUGAAGUACUACCAGGGACCAGAUUUCAAUCAGAGAUAUUUAUGAAAAAUUAAGUAAUUUCAUAGUAAAAUAAAAACUGGAAGCAUGCUAUAGAAGAAUAUAGAAGAUAGAUUAGUGGUUGGCAAACUUUUCUGUAAAAGACUAUAUAGCAAAUAUUUUAGGCUUUACAGGCUAUGUGCAGUAUUAUCGCAUAAUUCUUUUAUUCUUUUUUUUUAUAACCCCUAAAAAUGUGAUAAUCAUUCUUAGCUUGGGAGCCACAAAAAAAGAGGCCAUAUCCAGAUUUUACCUGCAGAUCAUAAUUUCCCCACCUCUGUGUUAGACCAAUAAUUAGCAGACAGUAGAAUUAUGAAACAAAUAUAGCAACUUUGGUUAUAUUAAGCAUGCUUUAAAAAAUACUGAGUGUUUAUGAGAAAAUGUCUAUCAUAUCUUUCUUGGUUGUGUAUGAGAUCUACAUUUUAAAUAUAUAGAGGCUGAAAAUAUAUCGGGUUAUUAUAAAAUCCUUAUAUCAAAAUAUGAUUUACAGUAAUUUUAAAAUUAGGAUACUGCAGUUUCUCAGAAAAGUGCGCCUUCAUUUUUUUAGAGAAUUGAAAAGGCAAAUGUAAGGGUAAUACAUUCUAAUAUCAAGCCUAACCAUAACAUUUUCUGUGAUGCAUUUCUCCAGUGUAUAUAAUUUGCUUUCAUACUACUCCCUGUUUAGUUACUAAAUAUUUCACUUGAACUGCCGAGGGCUGUUCAUCUACCAGGCAGUCUGCUGAGGAAGCAGAUGCAAAUUGUGCUUGGUCAUCAUGCUCCUGGACUUUCUAAUGAACAAACUAUAAAAGUUAUUCAUGCAGAGACUAGCGUUUUCCUAUUUGUUAUCGAACCUGUAGUUAACUGAGUACUUCCUGAGUUUUAGGAACUAAACUGUUGGAAGAAAAAGUUUUUCAAGUUGUCUUCAGAGAUAGAAAUCAAUUCUAAAUACAAUUACUCAUAGGAGGUUUCUACAGAGUUUAACUUCAUGUCUGAGUAAAAUUUUUCCCUCUGGGGGAAAGAGAUAGAUGAAUGAUAGUGAACACAAAGAUCUUAUUUGUUAUUGUCAAAUAAAAGAUUGAUGUGCUUCUCCUGAGGCAGAGUGGUUGAGAGCACAGGUUCCAGAGGCUAAAGGCCUGGUUUCAAAGCCUGUCUCUACAGCUUUGCCACUUGAGAGAAGCUGGGCAAAUUUGCUCAUCUGCGAAGCAGAGAAAAUAAUAGUAUCUCAUAUGGGAUUCUUGAAAAGAUUCCAUUAGUUAAUACAGAAAAGCUUCUUAGAAGUGUGACUGAACUUUCAGAGGUUAAAAAUGAAAAAAAGUUGUACGCUAAAUGGUAAUUGAGGGCUCCUCAGAUUGUAGUCAUUCAUGUGUAGCUUUUAUAAUUUCUGUGUAACCCUAUGUCCCACCUUCUUGAAUUUGCCUCUUAAUAAUUACCACAUAUAUUAUUAUUUACCUGAUAUUUUCUGUAUCUUCAAGAAAAACCUGAUUUAAAUAUUUAAAUAAAAUCUAAAUAGGUAAAUAUUAAAAUUGAGCAAUCGUUUAAAUAUUAAUAUUAACAUUAUCAACCUACUGAAAAACCAGUAUCUUUACCAUAAAUGAAAGGUAACAAACAAAUAUAAAGAAAAUAAUGUUAUUUAUAUUUCUAACUAGAUGGUGGUGGCUGCCUAAUGCAAUGAGUUAUCUUCCUGCCUUUUCACUGAUUAAAAGAAAAAUUAUUAAAUGUUAGAGUGAUGUUGAAAACAAGUUAGUUUAAUCAAAUUGAGGUCUUCUCCUUGAUAAAAUUAGAAAGAGUGAAAGAAAAGAGAUAUUAUAAUAACUCUUUUUUGGUUGCACCCAAAAAAGCAUGUGGAAGUUUCCAGGCCAGGAAUCAAACCUGUGCCACAGCAAUAACCUUGGAGCCACAGCAGUGACAACCCUGAGCUUUAAUCCCUAGGCCACUAGGGAACUCCAAGGGAAUAAUUUUUUUUAACUACAUAAUUCAUGUUCUUUUGAUGCUUUUCAAUACACCACUUAAAAUUAUAUCCCUUUGUGGAGUUCCCGUCAUGGCUCAGUGGUUAACGAAUCUGACUAGGAACCAUAAUGUUGAGGGUUCAAUCCCUGGCCUUGCUCAGUGGGUUAAGGAUCUGGCGUUGCUGUGAGCUGUGGUGUAGGUCACAGACUCGGCUUGGAUCCUGCAUUACUGUGGCUCUGGCAUAGGCCAGCAGCUACAGCUCUGAUUAGACCCCUAGCCUGAGAACCUCCAUAUGCUGCAGGAGGGGCCCUAGAAAAAGCAAAAAGACAAAAAAAAAAAAAUUACAUCCCUUUGUAAAACAUUACUAGGCAGGAAACUUUAGGAAGACCCUUGGACAUUGACUGGACUUUAGUAUGAGGCUAGAGCUGAGUUUCAGCUCAAUCUAGAGAGGGAACAAUGUGAGUGAAUGCAACAAAUCAGGCAAAUGACUAGUGCAUUGUCAUUAAAUCAUUGGGUUUGUGUUGGGUAAAAUAGCUGGGGCGCUCUGUCAGUCAUAUUGUACCUGGCCUUGAAUUCUAGGCUAAGCAAGGCGGACUGUAAGCAAUAACCACCACAGAAGGAU